rnacentral:lncRNA from 1 species
UUAGCUUCUCAUAGAUGUCUGAUGCGUAUAGAUGUUUAUAGCAAUGGACCAUAGAGGGACUAAAACCAUGCUUGUAUGUUCUUGUUUCCUUUAUAGGGUGCACGUUAUUCACAUAUUUAAGAUUCACACUGGAUUCUCGGCACUUCAAACACGUGAAAUCCUGAUUAGAAGUAUUGGAGGUGACCUUAAAGACCCCAUAAUGCGAUGUGCACAGAGAACCUAUUAUCCAAAGGAUUGGGCUAUGGACUAAUAUCUUGAGAAUUCACAGAUUUUGGAAAGGCAGCUGUUACUGAAAGCAAAUUGCAUCUCUCAAGCUCUUAAUAAAAUUUUGUGCAAUCCCA